UAGUUAAAAAGAGGAAUAAAUACUUUGAGAAAACAAAGUAUAUAAAAAGGCCAAAUUAACUGGACUUAAAACAUAACGGGUUAUAACUUCCCGAACCCGUUAAAGUAACUAGGAGUAAUUAACCUAGUUAGUAACAUGUGACUAAAUAAAUAAUGAAUUAUAGUUUCAUUUGAUCAAAAUAAAAACAUGAGGGACUAAAAAGGGGCAAUUGUGAAAGUUGUAUGAUUAAAACAAAAAUAAACCACACCAAACACACACUUAGUGUGUGUCUGGUCGAUGUUAAACACAGGGGGCGACCAGGUUUCUCCAUCAAACCCCAAAUCUCCCAAAAUUCACAAAUUGAAGCCUCUAAUCUGCUCCAAAUCAAGUUUCAAGCAUGAAUUAGUGAUCAUCUCGUUGUGGGGAUCAAAAGUUUGACGCGUAACAAGCUAGGUGGAAGCUUGAUGAGGGAGCGGGUCAAACGAAUCAAGAAGGAAAGGAAAAAGCAUAGUUCGGACACGAGGUAAGUAUAUCUUACACUAGUCAUAUAUUUCAUAAUAUCCUUUUGUCGUAUUACGAAAAAGAUAAUUUAUGACGUAAGCCAUAGUAGGCUAAAAAGUGUUAAGAAAUGGAAUUAUAAGUAAGUGACCGCACGGUGUAAAUCGGAGCGAGUCAUAUAUAUAUUUACGAGGUGGUAAUAAAUACCAUCUCGCUAAUAUAAUCGGUCAAUUCGGCCAAACGGGUCAAAAGGUGAAAUUAUCACCCUUUGACAAUAUCGACUAAUGGGUUGUCAAGAUGCAUAAUUUUAGGAAAUAAAUAGAACAUGGAUGCUUACAUCGCUAUCGCUUAGCAGCCACUAAGGAAAUGUAUUGAAACGGGUCAAUAUAUUGAUCCGAGCCAGGUGAAGAUGGGAUAAGCGGUUUGAAAGAUACGAAAGUUUUCAUGCAAAUAAACGGCAAAAUAGGAAAGCUGGAAUGCAGGGGCCACCGUAACUUACGGUGCCACCGUAAGUUACGGUGGAGGUGAAGGCUUUACGGCAGCCCCCUACUGAUUUACGGUAGGGGCAUGUCACACCAGGGGCCACCGUAACUUACGGUGCCACCGUAAGUUACGGUGGAGGCCAGUUGGAAAUCCAUGUUUUGAGAUCAAAAGUUUAACGUUCUUUUUGGAUGCCGGAAGACGAUCAAGCUCAUCGAAGGACCGAACACGAUAAAGAUACAUGCUUCCGCACAUUUCCUCGUCGUAAAUUUUUAAACGACAAAUUCGAUCACUUAUGUUGAAUAACUUAUGAUUUGUAAAAGUUUUAAUAAACUCGUAUUUUCAUAGUAUGUGUAAACUUAAUUACACAUCUAAUUGUUGGUAUUUAUAUAUAAAAAAAAACCGUUAAAUAGUAA